UCUUGCAGGAUUGCUUGAAUUGA
rnacentral:snRNA from 1 species